rnacentral:rRNA from 1 species
AGAGUUUGAUCAUGGCUCAGGAUGAACGCUGGCGGCGUGCUUAACACAUGCAAGUCGAACGAUGACUUCUGUGCUUGCACAGAAUGAUUAGUGGCGAACGGGUGAGUAACACGUGAGUAACCUGCCCUUGACUUCGGGAUAAGCCUGGGAAACCGGGUCUAAUACCGGAUACGACCUCCUGGCGCAUGCCAUGGGGGUGGAAAGCUUUAUUGCGGUUUUGGAUGGACUCGCGGCCUAUCAGCUUGUUGGUUGGGGUAAUGGCCCACCAAGGCGACGACGGGUAGCCGGCCUGAGAGGGUGACCGGCCACACUGGGACUGAGACACGGCCCAGACUCCUACGGGAGGCAGCAGUGGGGAAUAUUGCACAAUGGGCGAAAGCCUGAUGCAGCGACGCCGCGUGAGGGAUGACGGCCUUCGGGUUGUAAACCUCUUUCAGCAGGGAAGAAGCGAAAGUGACGGGACCUGCAGAAGAAGCGCCGGC